GCCGAUGUAGCUCAAUGGUAGAGCAAUUGAUUUGUAAUCAAUAGGUUGGGGGUUCGAUACCCUUCAUCGGCUCCA
rnacentral:tRNA from 1 species